rnacentral:lncRNA from 1 species
CCGACACCUACUGGAAGAAGUCCUCGCUCGCCAUCGUCGACGGAUUCGCCGUCGAGAUCACCGACGCUCAGGUCACCGCCCGGCCUAACCUCACAUCCCAUCGAAUGUACCAUGGAUCCAUCUUACAUGGUUACCUGUACAUGAAUCUUCUCUUACACCCCUGAUGAUGGCAGGCAUACAUGAACGACUCAGCUAUAUAUAUACUUAUGCAGGCGAGCGUGCUGAGGUCGGCCAAGGAGGUGAGGGUGGUGGAGAAGAACCAGGAGCUUGCUUGACCAGCCAAACAUCCAGGCGGUUAUAAGCAUGAUCUUUUAGAUGCUUUGGGCAUUAGCCAUAGCUAUGGAAGCUUGGUUUACUAUAAGCUAAGGCACGAGUACGUUGAUCAGUUGCUACUAGUCAAUUGCUUUUGCGGCGUAAGUGUAUCGAUCGGUGUGUGUUUUGUGUGAUCUCCUAUGGCUUUGUUGACUCUAAUGUCAAGCUCAAGCUUAGCUCCUAUCUUUAUACUACGUAAUAGUAGUACUUAAUUAGCACUAGCGGCAGAAAUAUGGAUAUUCUUCAUCGAUCUUACUAGCUAGGGUCUACUGAUA